rnacentral:RNase_P_RNA from 1 species
CGUGUCGGCCGGAUCAUCGCUCUGCCGUCAGGCAGGGAGGAAAGUCCGAACUCCACAGGGCAGCGUACUUCCUAACAGGAAGGCACCGCGCAAGCGGUGACGGCAAGUGCAACAGAAAGUAUACCAGCCGAUGAGCCGUAAAUGGCCACAGGUGAUGGGUGAAAUGGUGCGGGUAAGAGCCCACCAGCGUCAGGGGCGACCUUGGCGGCUAGGUAAACCCUACGUGGAGCAAGGCCAAAUAGCAUCGCACGCCCCAGGCGAUAAGGUGACCCGCCAAACCAGCGAUGCGGGUAGGCCGCUUGAGGCCAGUGGUGACACUGGUCCUAGAUAGAUGAUGAUCUUCCCGGUAUGCUGCACAGCGGCUGCGGCAUCGGGUAGACAGAAUUCGGCUUACAGGCCAGCACGUGCC